AUGUUAUCAAAAUAUUCACUUACUAUGCUUCUAUUCAUUUUACUCUCUCUCUCCAGAGACCUUCAGAUAGAAAAUGCAGUUGAAAGAUAUUUCAUAAAGGAAGAAAAGAAGUAUGAAGACAGGAUAGCAAAUACAGAAAGAAUUCUUGUGAUAAUAGAGAACACAGAACUGUUGAACGGUGUUGAAGCUGAGCUGGAGAGAGUCACCAAAGCUGGCGCGGAAGCUGGCAAGGUCGGAGAGUUUCCUGCCUGGGCACAGCUUGAGCUCGCCCCUGCGCCACCGCCAGUGGCAGAAACUGCAGACCACCUGGGCCCUGAGGCCUCCGCCGCAUCCUCCCACCAGCCAGGAGCUGUGCUGAGGUCGCAGAUAGGCGACCCUGGAGGGGUGCACCUGAGGGAAGGCGGCCCAUGUUCCGGACAGCAGCAGGACACCAGGAUCCAGGGACCCACCUCCCGCCGCGGGAACCCCAAACCUUGCCUGGCGCCCCUUGCUUGCUCCGCCUGGCCUCCAGAGGCCGGUGUGUGUCCUGGUCAUGAGGAUGCACAGCAGGUGCCCGGGAGUCCCCCUCCGCCAUGGCCUACCGCUCUGCCAGCCAUCACGCCUGGUUCGCGGACCGCAGCACAGCCUGGCUGCCUCUGAUCCCACCAGGCCGGGACCUGUCCUCCUCCUGGGCGACCAGCCGGGGGAAUGCACUCUGCCCGGUGGCCUGCACAGCCCCUGACCGCCCAUCCCCUCUGGCGCCUCCACCCCAGGCCAGGACCUUCCUGUAGCACAGAACCCACCUUCCUUCCCGCCGCAGAGCUGCUCCGCUUCAGCCACCCACAGGGAAAAACGCAGAUCUCCAAACAAACAGAAAUCCGCGUGUGACUCCUCUGCUUGGAUACUGCCAGUCCCCACAUUUACUUCCAGGAGUUUUCUUGGCAGAAGGUGUCCAACAUUUGAUGUUUCACCAGCGAUGAGGCUGAAAAGUGACAGCAAUAGAGAAACACAUCAGGCUUUCCGCAACAAAGAUGACCUUCCCUUCUUCAAAUCUCAGCAAUCUCCAAGGCCCACAAAGGACUCAGGACAAGAUGACUGAGCUGGAGUACUCGGCCCAGGAAAUGCAGGCCCAGAGCGGGUCACCUCCUUAGGGCAGGCCCAGCCUUCUCCUGGCUGCCUGGGUGCCUUUCUCCUCACUCCCACCCAAUGCAGGGGACCCCACAAACUCGGCUCUCGGGGCUCCCUGCACCUGCCUCCACAGGAGCCACCUCCUGCCCGCCAAGCUGGGGCCUUCUGGGGCGUCCUGGGCUGAGAGGGCAAGGUGCCAGCUCCGCACGCUGGAGAAGGAACACCGCUACACUGUCACACUGACACACCGCCACACGAAGACACACCACACGGGCACACCACCACAUGGCCACAUGGACAGACACACAGACACAUGGAGCUAUCACCAUACGGACACACAGACACACCACCACACUGUCACAUGUACAGACACACGGAGACAUUACGACACGGACACAUUGCCACACUGUCACAUGGACGGACAGACAGACAUACGGAGAAGUCACCACACAGGCACAGCACCAGACUGUCACACGGACACAGACACACGGAGACAUCACCAUAAGGACACAAGACCACAUACCACAGGGACACACAGACACACAGAGACAUCACCACACUGUCACAGGGACACACCAUCACUCUCACACGAACACACAGACACACUGCCACAUGGACACUGCCACACACACAGACACACUGCCACACUGUGACAUGGACACACCUCCGCACUGUCAGAUACCACCACACAGACACGGCCACGUGGACACAAGGACACACAGGCACAGCGUCACCUGGAUACACAAACCUGGGAAGCCACAUCUGAAGGAACUGCCAGGUGACUAGGGCCAUAAGUCAAUCAAAGUAGACUUUCCCUGGCUUGCUUACAAGUCAUUUAAGCUGUGGUGAGAUGGUAUCUCAUUGUAGUUUUAAUUUGCAUUUCUCUGAUGAUCAGUGAUACUGAGCACCGUUUCUUAUACCUGUUUGCCAUUUGUAGGUCUUUUUUUGAGAAAUAUCUAUUCAAAUCUUUUACCCCCUUUUUUAAACCAGGUUAUUAGAUUGUUUCUUAAAGAGUUGUUCGAGCUUUUUAUAUAUUCUGAUUAUUAAUCCCUUGUCAGAAGAGUAGUUUGCAAAUAUUUUCUCCCAUUCUGUGGAUUGUCUCUUAAUUUUGUUGAUUGUAUCAUUUUCUGGGCAGAAGCUUUUUAACUUAGUGUGAUCCAUUUGUCCAUUUGUGUUUUGGCUGCCUGUGCUUGUGGGUAUUGCUCAAAAUAUUUUUGCCCAGACCAAUGUUCUGGAGAUUUUCCUCAAACUUUUUUUGUACUAGUUUUAUUGUUGGAGUUUUAAUCAACUUUGAUUUUACUUUCAUAUAUUAUGAGAGAUACUAGUCUGUUUUCAUUCCUCUGCAUAUGGAUAUCCAGUUUUAUCAACACCAUUUACCACCAGUGUAUGUUCUUGGCACCUUUGUCAAAAAUGAGUCCACUGUAGCUAUGUAGAUUUGCUACUGGGUUCUCUAUUCUGUUCCAUUGAUCUAUGGGUCUGUUUUUAUGCCAGUACCAUAUUCUUUUGGUUACUAUAAUUCUGUAGUAUAAUAUGAAGUCAGAUAAUAAAAUUCCUCCAG
rnacentral:lncRNA from 1 species